rnacentral:rRNA from 1 species
UGGCUCAGGAUGAACGCUGGCGGCGUGCGUAAUACAUGCAAGUCGAGCGAACAGACGAGGAGCUUGCUCCUUUGACGUUAGCGGCGGACGGGUGAGUAACACGUAGGUAACCUACCUAUAAGACUGGGAUAACUUCGGGAAACCGGAGCUAAUACCGGAUAAUAUUUCGAACCGCAUGGUUCGAUAGUGAAAGAUGGCUUUGCUAUCACUUAUAGAUGGACCUGCGCCGUAUUAGCUAGUUGGUAAGGUAACGGCUUACCAAGGCAACGAUACGUAGCCGACCUGAGAGGGUGAUCGGCCACACUGGAACUGAGACACGGUCCAGACUCCUACGGGAGGCAGCAGUAGGGAAUCUUCCGCAAUGGGCGCAAGCCUGACGGAGCAACGCCGCGUGAGUGAUGAAGGUCUUCGGAUCGUAAAACUCUGUUAUUAGGGAAGAACAAACGUGUAAGUAACUGUGCACGUCUUGACGGUACCUAAUCAGAAAGCCACGGCUAACUACGUGCCAGCAGCCGCGGUAAUACGUAGGUGGCAAGCGUUAUCCGGAAUUAUUGGGCGUAAAGCGCGCGUAGGCGGUUUUUUAAGUCUGAUGUGAAAGCCCACGGCUCAACCGUGGAGGGUCAUUGGAAACUGGAAAACUUGAGUGCAGAAGAGGAAAGUGGAAUUCCAUGUGUAGCGGUGAAAUGCGCAGAGAUAUGGAGGAACACCAGUGGCGAAGGCGACUUUCUGGUCUGUAACUGACGCUGAUGUGCGAAAGCGUGGGGAUCAAACAGGAUUAGAUACCCUGGUAGUCCACGCCGUAAACGAUGAGUGCUAAGUGUUAGGGGGUUUCCGCCCCUUAGUGCUGCAGCUAACGCAUUAAGCACUCCGCCUGGGGAGUACGACCGCAAGGUUGAAACUCAAAGGAAUUGACGGGGACCCGCACAAGCGGUGGAGC